rnacentral:lncRNA from 1 species
CAGAGGGUAAAUCAGAAGAAUGUGUUGAACACUGCUAAGAGGUCACGUUAGACAGGUCAGAGGAAGGGCCACUGGGUUUUGCACCAUGGAGAUUGUAGGUAAUCAUGAACAGAGUCAUUCAGUAGAGGAAUGAAUUCAAGGGCAAGAUUGGAACAGGUUAAAGAAUGACUAGAAGGUAAGAAAUGGGGGCUGAGUAGAGACAAUUAUCUCAAGCAGUUUUGCGACUAGAAAAAAAAAAGAUAAAGCAACAAUAGAGGAUAUGUGACUACAAGAGAAGUUGUGGGAUUUUUGUUUGCUUGCUUGCUUUAUAAAUGAAAGAUACCAGAAUACAUUUCUCUGCUGUAGGAAGACCUUGAAUUCCAUGUUGAGAGGUUGAGAUUUUAUUUUGGAAACAUUGCAAGUUUUUAAGCUGGAAAAUGACAUGAUGAAGUCAGUGUUUUAGGAAGAUUCAUCUGAAAAGAGCUGCCCAUAAAUUGUAUAAAAUUGGAAAAGUAUACAUAGCCAUGAAAAGUGCUGGAUGUCACCCAAAGGGAGCCGACUAAUGCAACAGAAAACGGCCUUAAAGAGGCUCCCGAAUGAGGUGAAUUCUUCACCCAACCUACAAACUCGAAAGAAGCCGAUAUCCCACUUAACUCUGAGCAAGCUACUUAACACAGGCAUCAACAUUCAUGGUUCCAUGAGAUAUGCAACCUCAUGCGUUGGAUUAAGCAAAUGCCGUUCUGCAUGCCUAAUUAAGGGCAGAGAUGGUGGCCUGCUCUUUCCCUUCUUCAGCCCCAUUCCAUCUAGAGACUCUCGAUCGCCUGAGGAAAUUAUACAGACAUCCCUGUUUCUGUGCCUUGUGUACUCGAAAUCAAGCCCUAUAACCGAAUUAGCUUCACUCUGCUCAGAACUCUGCAUCUUCUGGCUUUUUAAAAACUGGCUCCCUUACUAGUCUCAAGUUUGUAUUUUCAAUUAUUAAAGAAGAGACAUUCCUUAUCAAAACCGCAGCUCCUCUCAUUAAAAAAAG